GACCGUGGCGGCAUCUUACCAUGCAAGUCGAACGCUGAAGCACCAGCUUGCUGGUGUGGAUGAGUGGCGAACGGGUGAGUAAUACGUGAGUAACCUGCCCUUGACUCUGGGAUAAGCCCGGGAAACUGGGUCUAAUACUGGAUGCUACAUGUCACCGCAUGGUGGUGUGUGGAAAGGGUUUACUGGUCUUGGAUGGGCUCACGGCCUAUCAGCUUGUUGGUGAGGUAAUGGCUCACCAAGGCGACGACGGGUAGCCGGCCUGAGAGGGUGACCGGCCACACUGGGACUGAGACACGGCCCAGACUCCUACGGGAGGCAGCAGUGGGGAAUAUUGCACAAUGGGCGAAAGCCUGAUGCAGCGACGCCGCGUGAGGGAUGACGGCCUUCGGGUUGUAAACCUCUUUCAGCAGGGAAGAAGCCACAAGUGACGGUACCUGCAGAAGAAGCGCCGGCUAACUACGUGCCAGCAGCCGCGGUAAUACGUAGGGCGCAAGCGUUGUCCGGAAUUAUUGGGCGUAAAGAGCUCGUAGGCGGUUUGUCGCGUCUGCUGUGAAAGCCCGGGGCUUAACCCCGGGUGUGCAGUGGGUACGGGCAGACUAGAGUGCAGUAGGGGAGACUGGAAUUCCUGGUGUAGCGGUGGAAUGCGCAGAUAUCAGGAGGAACACCGAUGGCGAAGGCAGGUCUCUGGGCUGUUACUGACGCUGAGGAGCGAAAGCAUGGGGAGCGAACAGGAUUAGAUACCCUGGUAGUCCAUGCCGUAAACGUUGGGCACUAGGUGUGGGGGACAUUCCACGUUUUCCGCGCCGUAGCUAACGCAUUAAGUGCCCCGCCUGGGGAGUACGGCCGCAAGGCUAAAACUCAAAGGAAUUGACGGGGGCCCGCACAAGCGGCGGAGCAUGCGUAUUAAUUCGAUGCAACGCGAAGAACCUUACCAAGGCUUGACAUAUACCGGAUCGUUCCAGAGAUGGCUCUUCCCCUUUGGGGUCAGUAUACAUGUGGUGCAUGAUGAUCGUCAGCUCGUGUCGUGAGAUGUUGGGUUAAGUCCCGCAACGAGCGCAACCCAUCGUUCCCAUGUUGCCAGCAUCGUGAUGAUGAGACUCAUGGGUAGACUGCCGGGGUCACUCGAGAGGUGGCGAUGACGUCAAUCAGUCAUGCCCCGUAUGUCUUGGACUCACGCAUGCCUACCAUUGCCGGUACGAUGGUUGCGCAUACUGUCAGUGCAGCUAUGCCGAAGAAGCUCGCGGACUUCA
rnacentral:rRNA from 1 species